rnacentral:rRNA from 1 species
GAGUUUGAUCCUGGCUCAGGAUGAACGCUGGCGGCGUGCCUAACACAUGCAAGUCGAGCGAAGCACUUAAGUCUGAUUCUUCGGAUGAAGGCUUUUGUGACUGAGCGGCGGACGGGUGAGUAACGCGUGGGCAACCCGCCUUACACAGGGGGAUAACAGUUAGAAAUGACUGCUAAUACCGCAUAAGACCACAAAACUGCAUGGUUUUGUGGUAAAAACUCCGGUGGUGUAAGAUGGGCCCGCGUCUGAUUAGGUAGUUGGUGGGGUAACGGCUCACCAAGCCGACGAUCAGUAGCCGACCUGAGAGGGUGACCGGCCACAUUGGGACUGAGACACGGCCCAGACUCCUACGGGAGGCAGCAGUGGGGAAUAUUGCACAAUGGGGGAAACCCUGAUGCAGCGACGCCGCGUGAGCGAUGAAGUAUUUCGGUAUGUAAAGCUCUAUCAGCAGGGAAGAAAAUGACGGUACCUGACUAAGAAGCCCCGGCUAACUACGUGCCAGCAGCCGCGGUAAUACGUAGGGGGCAAGCGUUAU